AUCACUUCUUGUUCUUUUGGUUAAGAUCAAGUGUAGUAUUUGUUUUGAUUAAUUUAGUAGCUGAUAUGUUUCUUACGUGGGGGCCAUAUAUUAAAUUGUUUUUUGAAACAGGGAGAUGAAAUAGGGGCUUGCUCUGUCUGUUUUUUUGUUCAUUUUAUUUACCACCAUAAUAAUUAAAUAAAAAUGGUACAUAAA